rnacentral:lncRNA from 10 species
GUAAGAAGUGUGUUGCUUCCCCUUCGUCUUCCACCAUGAAUAACAGAAUGGCAAUUUUCGUGUGGUGUUAAUUUCCGUGGAAGAAGAAAAGGCUCGACUCUCUGUCCUAUUUUUCAUGAAUACUGGAAGUAGGGAAUAAACCUGGAGUCUCACGGGUGAAAAGAGACAUUUCCAUAUCACCAGACCACAAACGUGGGUGUUGAUUCUAAGGAUACCCCCAAUAAACAUCUUUCGUGCUAAAGCCCAUUCCAGAAUUUACUUCCCAGCUAUCUUUGAUGUUCAUAUUGUCAGAGGUGGUGGCCGCUGAAACAGGCAAAGACAUGGAGCAUAUCUUGGGUCCAGGUAAAGGAGGUGGGUGCACACAAGUGAAAAGAUGUUGCUGAAGUCACGUGGCUUCAAGCAGUAGAGCUGACUGUCCUCUAGUCCAGUUGUCCCUACAGGAUAAAAGCUUCUCUCCAUUACAGAGACCUUGGGAGUCCAGAGGAAGGUCUUUUUACCAUCAGCAUUCUCUACUGUGUUCAAUGACUGUCAGCCAAAGAUGGCCAGGACGUUCCACCUGUUAAGGGUAAACAUAUGAUGGAAGUAUUGCCUCCUGAGAAAGCACAGUGUUCUGAUGGACAGACUAAGUAGAGGCAUAUCUUAGAAACAUGCCCCAGACGGAACAGUAAUGGCCUGUGAAUCUGUGCUUCCACAGCCUGCACCUACAGAUCUACACACAUGCCCAUGCACAUGCAGGAAGUGUUCAUCUAAGACUGGACCUUUUAGAAGAAAGCUGGCAUACAUUCGUGAAGGCAUGGGCUUCCAGGCAUGUCAUCUUCACUCACGAAGCACACACAAGACCGCCAAGCAUUAAGAUUCUCCUGUGGAGCCAGGCUACAAUCCUUUAAAUGAAGACAGACAGCUAGGUGGCUGCAGCCCAGCGCUACACCUCACCCCUCCCUCAGUGUCAUGCAGAAAAAAUGUAUUCAGAACUCAGAAGUGAAGUUGUGCAAAUCCAUCAUUGACACUAGCUUCAAGGUUACCUCGGGGGAGCAGAAUGUACCCCUGCCAGAGAGCUGGAUAGAUGAUGAUGGGGACAGAAAUUCUGGGGGAGUUGUAAAUGGCAGCCACUGCCUCUAUAGGAAACCCAAAGGGAACACAGCAGAAGAGGAGGUGGUGGAGGAGCCACUGCCCUCUCGAAGGGUUCAAUGUCAUUCUGCAGACACAACCAAAUAACUUUUUCUUCCCUGCUGCUCCUCCAUUUGAAAUGACAGCCCCGAGCUCGCUUUUUCCUUGAUUGUGUAACUCUGAUUACAGACAAGGCCAAGGCAAUCCCAGGGCAUUACUACAAAGCUAAGGGGUCCCCAAAGAACUAAAGAGUCAGCUCCACAAAAAUCCCGAUUCCUAGCAUGAAACUGAAAUAUGAAACCAAACGGGCAUAGAAAAGGUAUGUGCAUUCGAAUCACAUAGCAGUGACUGGAGUCCUGAGCUGUGUCUGAAGACUGUGAGAUCACGUUUGGAGCUGCUGAUUGGUUUUCAGUGAUGGCCCUGUUGCACAGUGCCGUGAGACUUAGCUCCAUGGCCAAAGACGAUGGUAUCCCCUAGGAGCCCUGUGAGGUUGCUGCUGUUCUCUUAAGACACCAGGUAGCCAUCUGAUCCUCCCUGAGCAAACUAACUGGGCAGACAGGUUUAUUAAACCUCUGUUGGUCCGACUUACAUGAAACAAGAGAGUUAUUUUGUUGUUGUUGUUUUGUUUUGUUUUAAAUUAAACCUGUCUUUGGAGCCUCCUGCUCUUAGUUUACAAGUCUUCUUUGCACACUCUAAUAUUUUAAGAAGCAGCAAACAUUAACUGAGGGUCUA